AGCGAACGCUGGCGGCAGGCCUAACACAUGCAAGUCGAGCGGCCGUAGCAAUACGGCAGCGGCAGACGGGAGAGUAACACGUGGGAACGCGCCCUUCGGUUCGGGAUAACUCAGGGAAACUUGGGCUAAUACCGGAUACGCCCUUACGGGGAAAGAUUUAUUGCCGAAGGAACGGCCCGCGUCCGAUUAGCUAGUUGGUGAGGUAACGGCUCACCAAGGCGACGAUCGGUAGCUGGUCCGAGAGGAUGACCAGCCUCACUGGGACUGAGACACGGCCCAGACUCCUACGGGAGGCAGCAGUGGGGAAUAUUGGACAAUGGGCGCAAGCCUGAUCCAGCCAUGCCGCGUGGGUGAUGAAGGCCCUAGGGUUGUAAAGCCCUUUCAGCGGGGAAGAUAAUGACGGUACCCGCAGAAGAAGCCCCGGCUAACUUCGUGCCAGCCGCCGCCGUAACAC
rnacentral:rRNA from 1 species